rnacentral:lncRNA from 1 species
AUGCCAGAUUUUGUGGGAUUUAUAGCCCACGGGCCGGUGUUGCCAUCCUUCCAGAGGCUUGAAUUCUGUUACCAAGAGCCUUGCCGCUCUUCUUUUUGCCAGUGUGGGUUCUUACCACAGGGCCCUGUGCUGUCCGUGUGCUUGCGUGCUCUGCCGCACUGCGGGGCCCUGCGCUGUCCGUGUGCUCGCGUACUCUGCCACACUGCGGGGCCCUGUGCUGUCCGUGUGCUCACGUGCUCUGCCGCACUGUGGGGCCCUGUGCUGUCCGUGUGCUCGCGUACUCUGCCACACUGCGGGGCCCUGUGCUGUCCAUGUGCUCGUGUGCUCUGCCGCACUGCGGGCCCUGUGCUGUCCGUGUGCUCGCGUGCUCUGCCGCACUGUGGGGCCCUGUGCUGUCCGUGUGCUCACGUGCUCUGCCGCACCGUGGAGCCCUGUGCUGUCCGUGUGCUCGCGUGCUCUGCCACACCGUGGAGCCCUGUGCUGUCCGUGUGCUCGCGUGCUCUGCCGCACCGCGGGGCCCUGUGCUGUCCGUGUGCUCGCGUGCUCUGCCGCACCGCGGGGCCCUGUGCUGUCCGUGUGCUCGCGUGCUCUGCCGCACCGCGGGGCCCUGUGCUGUCCGUGUGCUCGCGUGCUCUGCCGCACCGCGGGGCCCUGUGCUGUCCGUGUGCUCGCGUGCUCUGCCACACUGCGGGGCCCUGUGCUGUCCUUGUGCUCAUGUGCUCUGCCACACUGCGGGGCCCUGUGUUGUCCAUGUGCUCACGUGCUCUGCCACACUGCGGGGCCCUGUGUUGUCCGUGUGCUCGCGUGCUCUGCCACACUGCAGGGCCCUGUGUUGUCUGUGUGCUCGCGUGCUCUGCCACACUGCGGGGCCCUGUGCUGUCCGUGUGCUCACAUGCUCUGCCGCACUGUGGGGCCCUGUGCUGUCCGUGUGCUCACGUGCUCUGCCGCACUGUGGGGCCCUGUGCUGUCCGUGUGCUCGCGUGCUCUGCCGCUCUGCAGGCUUCUUCAGGAGGUUCUUUCAAGCUUGCAGACAGGUCUAAGAGUUAA